rnacentral:rRNA from 1 species
GGUUUAACCAUACUAAAGAGUCGUUCGAGACUAGGACGUUGAUAGGUUGGGUGUGGAAGAGUGGUAACACUUGAAGCUAACCAAUGCUAAUUGCUCGUGAGGCUUGACUCU